AUGGCAGUAAAACUUGUAAUACAGUGUAUGCAAAAUUAAUGUGAUACAAGCCGAAAAAUCCCUCACCCUUUCCUUUUGAGUGAGAAGGAACACACGUAAUGAUUACCAAUCACCGUCUUGGAUGGAAAGGCAAUUGAAAACCAUAUAAAUCUGAACUUCAGGAUCCAUUUCAUUAGCAUAUUGUCCAGACCCAAAAUAUAUAUAGUUCUUAAGUUUUCUGAAUUUUAUGUUGUCUGAGUAUUUGCUCUGAAUUUCAAAUUAUGGUUUCUUACAAUCUCAUAGGCAACGUAUAAUCACCCUCAAAUUACUCAUGUUAUGGCAAUAUUGACCCAAAAUUCCAAAGUAACAUUUUGCAUGACUACUUUCUGCAGCAUGCCAACUAGGACACAUCCCCUUGACUACUCUCUCUCACAGGUAGAAUAGCAUAGAAAGAAAGCUAAACGUUCAAAGGGAAAACAAUAUAGUUUAAAAUACAAUUGCUAAAAAAAAAAAAAACCGCUUAACCCAACUUCACCUUAUGCAUGUUGGACAUGUUCUUUAUGGGCUGCAAGUUAUCUUCUUUUCUUUCUUCUUGAAGCUGAUUUGAGACCUGAACCCCAUAAUUACGUUCAUGGGGGUCAUUAAAUAAUCUACACGAAGAGUAUCCAGGUAGAUCUAUGAUAUAGAACAGAUAACACAUGCCUUCUUGGAACAGCAAGGGUACUGGAAGUCACAACGCAAGAUUAAGGGGGGAUGCCAGUAAAAGCCAUUGGGGCAAUAGUGUUGAAAUUGUAUGAAAUUUGGCAAGUUGAAGGAAAAUGGUAUUUUGAUCUAGAAUCAAGACCUCGAGCAUUGCCUAAAUUUAGGCAAAUUCUUUUGUUAAGGCCCUGGAAACAAUGUUUUUACUAUUUAUAGUAAUAUUUGUUUUUCUUUAAUAACUUUUAGUUUAAAAGUCAGAACAAGGAUCCGUCUGUUUUGAGAUGACCCUUAAGGUUAGUAGUUUAUGAUUUUGCAUUUAACUCAAUUUUACUAUUUUUGGUAAAAUUCUGUAUUUUUCCCUUAAUCUCACAAUUAGUGCAAAUUAGGGUUUCAGACAUUUCCUAAUCAUCUUAGGGUUUUACUUUCUCAGUAUUAUAUGUUUUGUAGUUGUCAAAGGCAGAUCAAAUUAUGAUCAAUAAAAAUAUAGGUUUUUUUUCAAAUUCUUUCUCUGGUGGAUUCUAGUUUAUCUCCUUGUAGAUUCAAGAAAAUCUCUCGUGGAUUCGAGAUUUACUACCAGAAGUUAAUAGUUUAGUUUCUAUUCCAUCAAGAGAGCAUCAUGUGUGCUUUUUUCAGGCUUUCGCGACAUUAAUCUUAGUACAAAAUGCUACUGGGAAUACUUGAAUAUUCAUUAUAGCAGGAGCUUGUGUUUUCAUUGUCGACGUCCUCUUUGCUGAUGAAACCAUAGUAUACACUGAUCAAAAGAACAAGGACACUGAGGGUUUGCAAGCCUUUCUCCGCUAUAAGUUUCCAGAUAAUUGUGAGGUAAAAGAGAUAGCUGAAGGCAUGACUAUGAAGAUUAAGAAGAUGGAUAUGAGGAACAAAGAUAUAACAACCCCAUCGUUGGGGUGGGGAGGCGACGAGUGGUUUGUUUAUUCAUUUGAGAAAAUGGAAGAGUGA
rnacentral:sRNA from 1 species